UGCCUCUUGUAACCCCAUAAGAGGUAACUCCUGCCCAGUGAAUAAAAAUUUCAACGGCCGCGGUAUCCUAACCGUGCAAAGGUAGCAUAAUCACUUGUCUAUUAAUUGUAGACUAGAAUGAAAGGAUAAACGAAAUAAGAGCUGUCUCUGCUAGUUUUUUUAUAAAUUAUAUUUUAGAUGAAGAUAUCUAAGUUUAAGUGAAGGACAAGAAGACCCUAUAGAGCUUUUAUCUAAAGAAGAAAUAAAUCUCUUUUUAAGGAUUCGGUUGGGGCGACCAAGGGUACAACUAUCACCCUUUUCACAAAGAUGUAUAUAUCUCUCGUAUGACCCUUAUUAAAGAUCAUAAAAAUAAGCUACCUUAGGGAUAACAGGCUAAUCCCAUUAAAGAGUCCUUAUCUAUAAUGGGGGUUGGCACCUCGAUGUUGGCUUAGGGUAUCUCUAUGGCGCAAUAGUCAUAAAAAGGCGGUUUGUUCAACCCUUAAUUCCCU
rnacentral:rRNA from 1 species